UACGUAGGGGGCAAGCGUUGUCCGGAUUUAUUGGGCGUAAAGAGCGUGUAGGCGGCCAAGCAGGUCUGCUGUGAAAACUCGAGGCUCAACCUCGAGACGUCGGUGGAAACCGUUUGGCUAGAGUCCGGAAGAGGAGAGUGGAAUUCCCGGUGUAGCGGUGAAAUGCGCAGAUAUCGGGAAGAACACCCGUGGCGAAGGCGGCUCUCUGGGACGGUACUGACGCUGAGACGCGAAAGCGUGGGGAGCGAACAGG
rnacentral:rRNA from 1 species